UGGGGUCGUAGCGCAGAGGUAGUCGCGCCCGCACUCAAGCUGGAGGACGCCGGUUCGAAUCCGGCCGGCCCCAUC
rnacentral:tRNA from 1 species